UGAGUGCGAGCUGCUACGGCAGCGAAGUUGGUGACGUCAUGCUUCCAAGAAAAGCCCUAUACCCGUUAAGGCAUCAUGGCCUGUACCCGAAACCGACACAGGUGGGGUGGUAGAGAAUACCGAGGGGCGCGAGGUAACUCUCUCUAAGGAACUCGGCAAAAUGGCCCCGUAACUUCGGGAGAAGGGGUGCCACCGCAAGGUGGUCGCAGUGAAGAGGCCCAGGCGACUGUUUACCAAAAACACAGGUCUCCGCUAAGUCGCAAGACGAUGUAUGGGGGCUGACGCCUGCCCAGUGCCGGAAGGUUAAGGAAGCUGGUCAGCGCAAGCGAAGCUAGCGACUGAAGCCCCGGUGAACGGCGGCCGUAACUAUAACGGUCCUAAGGUAGCGAAAUUCCUUGUCGGGUAAGUUCCGACCCGCACGAAAGGCGUAACGAUCUGGGCGCUGUCUCGGAGAGAGGCUCGGCGAAAUAGAAUUGUCUGUGAAGAUGCGGACUACGUGCACCCGGACAGAAAGACCCUAUGAAGCUUUACUGUAGCUUGGUAUUGUGCCCGGGCUCGCAAUGCGCAGGAUAGGUGGGAGGCUUUGAUCAUCGGCUUGCGGGUCGAUGUGAGCCAACGGUGAGAUACCACUCUUUGCGAGCUAGGGUUCUAACGGCCACCCGUCAUCCGGGGGCCGGACAGUACCUGGUGGGCAGUUUGACUGGGGCGGUCGCCUCCUAAAAGGUAACGGAGGCGCGCAAAGGUUUGCUCAGGCUGGUUGGAAAUCAGCCGACGAGUGUAAAAGCAGAAGCAAGCUUGACUGUGAGACCAACAAGUCGAACAGGGAGGAAACUCGGCUUUAGUGAUCCGACGGUUCUGAGUGGAAGGGCCGUCGCUCAACGGAUAAAAGUUACUCUAGGGAUAACAGGCUGAUCUCCCCCAAGAGUUCACAUCGACGGGGAGGUUUGGCACCUCGAUGUCGGCUCAUCGCAACCUGGGGCUGAAGUCGGUCCCAAGGGUUGGGCUGUUCGCCCAUUAAAGCGGUACGCGAGCUGGGUUCAGAACGUCGUGAGACAGUUCGGUCCAUAUCCGGUGCACGCGCAGGAAUAUUGAGAGGAUUUCUCCCUAGUACGAGAGGACCGGGAGGAACGCACCUCUGGUGUACCAGUUAUCGUGCCAACGGUAAACGCUGGGUAGCCAUGUGCGGAGUGGAUAACCGCUGAAAGCAUCUAAGUGGGAAGCCCACCUCAAGAUGAGUAUUCCCAUGGCGUAAGCCAGUAAGGUCACGGGAAGAACACCCGUUGAUAGGCUCUAUGUGGAAGCGCAGUAAUGCGUGAAGCAGAGGAGUACUAAUAGACCGAGGGCUUGACCG
rnacentral:rRNA from 1 species